GACGAACGCUGGCGGCGUGCUUAACACAUGCAAGUCGAACGGAAAGGCACUGCUUUUGUGGGGUGCUCGAGUGGCGAACGGGUGAGUAACACGUGAGUAACCUGCCCUUGACUUUGGGAUAACUUCAGGAAACUGGGGCUAAUACCGGAUAGGAGCUCCUGCUGCAUGGUGGGGGUUGGAAAGUCUCGGCGGUUGGGGAUGGACUGGCGGCUUAUCAGCUUGUUGGUGGGGUAGUGGCUUACCAAGGCUUUGACGGGUAGCCGGCCUGAGAGGGUGACCGGGCACAUUGGGACUGAGAGACGGCCCAGUCUCCUACGGGAGGCAGCAGUGGGGAAUAUUGCACAAUGGGCGGGAGCCUGAUGCAGCAACGCCGCGUGCGGGAUGACGGCCUUCGGGUUGUAAACCGCUUUCGCCUGUGACGAAGCGUGAGUGACGGUAAUGGGUAAAGAAGCACCGGCUAACUACGUG
rnacentral:rRNA from 1 species